UCCAAUAGCGUAUAUUAAAGUUGUUGCAGUUAAAAAGCUCGUAGUUGAAUUUCGGGGUCAGUAGGUCGGUCGUGCCNCUGGUAUGAACUGGUUUCACUGAUUCCUCCCUCUUGUAGAGCCGUGAUGCCACUAAUUUGGUGUUGCGGGGAAACACGACUGUUACUUUGAAAAAAUUAGAGUGUUUAAAGCAAGCUAACGCUUGAAUACAUUAGCAUGGAAUAAUGAAAUAGGACGUUCGGUCCUAUUUUGUUGGUUUCUAGGACCGCCGUAAUAAUUAAUAGGGAUAGUCGGGGGCAUCAGUAUUCAAUUGUCAGAGGUGAAAUUCUUGGAUUUAUUGAAGACUAACUACUGCGAAAGCAUUUGCCAAGGAUGUUUUCAUUAAUCAGUGAACGAAAGUUAGGGGAUCGAAGACGAUCAGAUACCGUCGUAGUCUUAACCAUAAACUAUGCCGACUAGGGAUCGGAUGAUGUUAAUUUUUUAAUGACUCAUUCGGCGCCUUACGGGAAAC
rnacentral:rRNA from 1 species